AGAGUUUGAUCCUGGCUCAGGACGAACGCUGGCGGCGUGCUUAACACAUGCAAGUCGAACGGAAAGGCCCUUCGGGGUACUCGAGUGGCGAACGGGUGAGUAAUACGUGGGUGAUCUGCCCUGCACUUUGGGAUAAGCCUGGGAAACUGGGUCUAAUACCGAAUAUGACCAUGCGCCUCCUGGUGUGUGGUGGAAAGCUUUUGCGGUGUGGGAUGGGCCCGCGGCCUAUCAGCUUGUUGGUGGGGUAAUGGCCUACCAAGGCGACGACGGGUAGCCGGCCUGAGAGGGUGACCGGCCACACUGGGACUGAGAUACGGCCCAGACUCCUACGGGAGGCAGCAGUGGGGAAUAUUGCACAAUGGGCGCAAGCCUGAUGCAGCGACGCCGCGUGAGGGAUGACGGCCUUCGGGUUGUAAACCUCUUUCAGCACAGACGAAGCGCAAGUGACGGUAUGUGCAGAAGAAGGACCGGCCAACUACGUGCCAGCAGCCGCGGUAAUACGUAGGGUCCGAGCGUUGUCCGGAAUUACUGGGCGUAAAGAGCUCGUAGGUGGUUUGUCGCGUUGUUCGUGAAAACUCACAGCUUAACUGUGGGCGUGCGGGCGAUACGGGCAGACUUGAGUACUGCAGGGGAGACUGGAAUUCCUGGUGUAGCGGUGGAAUGCGCAGAUAUCAGGAGGAACACCGGUGGCGAAGGCGGGUCUCUGGGCAGUAACUGACGCUGAGGAGCGAAAGCGUGGGGAGCGAACAGGAUUAGAUACCCUGGUAGUCC
rnacentral:rRNA from 1 species